rnacentral:misc_RNA from 1 species
UGUGAGAGGGGGCUUGCUCCCGAUAGCGGUGGAUCAGUCAAAACCCUCGUGACUGACACACUGACAUCGGGAGCAAGCCCCCUCCCACA